rnacentral:rRNA from 1 species
GCGGUAGGCUUAACACAUGCAAGUCGAACGGUAACAUAGCUAGCUUGCUAGCUGAUGACGAGUGGCGGACGGGUGAGUAACGCGUAGGAAUCUACCUAUUAGUGGGGGACAACCUGGUGAAAACCAGGCUAAUACCGCAUACGCCCUACGGGGGAAAGCAGGGGAUCUUCGGACCUUGCGCUAUUAGAUGAGCCUGCGUUAGAUUAGCUUGUUGGUGAGGUAAUGGCUCACCAAGGCGACGAUCUAUAGCUGGUCUGAGAGGAUGAUCAGCCACACUGGGACUGAGACACGGCCCAGACUCCUACGGGAGGCAGCAGUGGGGAAUAUUGCGCAAUGGGCGAAAGCCUGACGCAGCCAUACCGCGUGUGUGAAGAAGGGUUUAGGCUCGUAAAGCACUUUAAGUAGGGAGGAAGGCCUGUAAAUUAAUACUUUGCAGGAUUGACGUUACCUACAGAAUAAGCACCGGCUAACUCCGUGCCAGCAGCCGCGGUAAUACGGAGGGUGCAAGCGUUAAUCGGAAUUACUGGGCGUAAAGCGCGCGUAGGCGGUUUGUUAAGCGAGAUGUGAAAGCCCAGGGCUCAACCUUGGAACUGCAUUUCGAACUGGCAGGCUAGAGUACAAGAGAGGGUGGUAGAAUUUCCUGUGUAGCGGUGAAAUGCGUAGAUAUAGGAAGGAAUACCCAGUGGCGGAAGGCGGCCACCCUGGCUUGAUACUGACGCUGA